rnacentral:lncRNA from 1 species
AGACCCAGGUUUGUUUCGUUUAAAGGAGGAUGCAAUUCUGUCCGUGAAUGCAUUUUCUCUAAAUGUUGGCUUCAUCCCUCCUUUGGUAGAGCAUGUCAACGGAUUUGCUAAUGGCAAAGAAGGGAAAACAGAAGCAAAGAAAACUGUUUCAAAAGUCUUGGAAUUGCUACUGUUAAAAGGCUGCGGUUCAUUUCUGAUUUCCUCAUCUUUUGCUACAAAGGAAAAAGAAAUCCAAUGAUGUGUCUACCUUUGGUGAGAAGAAAACACGAGCAACAGCAGUGUAGAAAUUGUCAUCACACUCAAUCUUUACACCCUGAUCUACGGUAUCCAAAAAGCAGACAUUGAUUCGCGGAAAAAUCGAGUUCUCGAAAAUACAGGGAUUUGACGCGGACUCCUGAGACCUGCGCAGGCGUUGCUUAGGUUCAAAAGUUCGAAAGUCAUUGUGCAGAGAGGGCAGGAGUGAAUUAAGGCCCCGGGGACCGCGGACGCCUGGCCAGGAGACCGCCUGAAAUAUGAGCCGAACCUGUUUU